rnacentral:lncRNA from 1 species
AUGCACCAGUACAGGCUGGGGGUUGACCUGCUGGAAAACAGCCCUGCAGAGAAUGACCUGGGGGUCCUGGUGGACAAGUUGACUAUGAGGCAGCAAUGUGCCCUUGUGGCCAAGAAGGCCAAUGGUCUCCUGGGGGGGUGCAUCAGGAAGAGCAUUGCCAGCAGGUGGAGGGAGGUGAUCCUCCCCCUCUACUCAGCCCUGGUGAGGCCCCAUCUGGAGUACUGCGUCCAGUUCUGGGCUCCGCAGUACAAGAGGGAUGUGGCACUACUGGAACAAGUCCAGCGAAGGGCUACAAAGAUGAUUAGGGGACUGGAGCAUCUCUCCUCUGAGGAAAGGCUGAGAGAGCUUGGCCUGUUUAGGCUGGAGAAGAGAAGGCUGAGAGGAGAUCUUAUUAANGAGAUGGUGGAGUUCAGGAUGCUGCGAGGAGGAGGCAGGGCCAUAAGCAGGAUCGCAACCCUGGACUUCAGCAGAGCAAACUUUGGCCUCUUCAGGGACCUACUUGAAGGAAUCCCAUGGGUUAGGGCCCUAGAAGGAGCGGGGGUUGCCCAAGAGAGCUGGUUAAUAGUCAAGCAUCACUUCCUGCAAGCUCAAGAUUGGAGCAUCCCUAUGAGUAAGAAGGCAAGCAAAGGAGGCAGGAGSCCURCAUGGCUGAGCAAGGAGCUCCUGGCAAAACUCAACCAGAAGAAGGAGGUAUACAGAAAGUGGAAAGGGGGACAGGCCACUUGGGAGGACYAUAGGAACGUUGUCAGAGUAUGCAGGGAUGCAACGAGGAAGGCUAAGGCCCAUUUGGAAUUAAAUCUGGCAAGGGAUGUCAAGGACARCAAGAAGGGCUUCUUCAAAUACCUCAGUAACAAAAGGAAGACUAGAGAGAAUGUGGGCCCGCUGCUGAAUGGGGUGAGUGCCCUGGUGAUGAAGGGUACAGAGAAGGCAGAGUUACUGAAUGUCUUCUCUGCGUCAGUCUUUCCUGCUCAGGCCAGCCCUCAGGAAUGCCAGACCCUGGAGGCAAGAGAGAAAGUCUGGAGAAAGGAAGACUUUCCCUUAGUCGAGGAGGAUGGGGUUAGAGAUCAUUUAGUCAAACGUGACACCCACAAAUCCAUGGGCCCUGAUGGGAUGCACCCACGAGUGCUGAGGGAGCUGGCGGAUGUUAUUGCUAGGCCACUCUCCAUCAUCUUUGCAAGGUCCUGGAGAACAGGAGAGGUGCCUGAAGUCUGGAAGAAGGGUAAUGUCACUCCAGUCUUCAAAAAGGGCAAGAAGGAAAGUACAGGCCAGUCAGGCUCACCUCCAUCCCUGGAAAGGUGA